rnacentral:rRNA from 1 species
AGGACGGUAGCAAUACCGUUGCUGGCGACCGGCAAACGGGUGCGGAACACGUACGCAACUUACCCUGAACUGGGGCAUAGCCCGGGGAAACCCGGAUUAAUACCCCGUAACACUUAGAGGUGGCAUCACCUUUUAGUUAAAGCUUUAUUGUGGUUCAGGGUGGGCGUGCGGCUGAUUAGGUAGUUGGUAGGGGUAACGGCCCACCAAGCCUGCGAUCAGUAACUGGUGUGAGAGCACGACCAGACACACGGGCACUGAGACACGGGCCCGACUCCUACGGGAGGCAGCAGUAAGGAAUAUUGGGCAAUGGAGGCAACUCUGACCCAGCCAUGCCGCGUGGAGGAUGAAGGCCCUCUGGGUUGUAAACUUCUUUUACCUGGGACGAAACCUUUCUAUUCUUAGGAAGUUGACGGUACCAGGGGAAUAAGCACCGGCUAACUCCGUGCCAGCAGCCGCGGUAAUACGGAGGGUGCAAGCGUUAUCCGGAUUCACUGGGUUUAAAGGGUGCGUAGGCGGGCAGGGAAGUCCGUGGUGAAAUCUCCGAGCUUAACUCGGAAACUGCCGUGGAUACUCUCUGUCUUGAAUACUGUGAAGGUGAGCGGAAUAUGUCAUGUAGCGGUGAAAUGCUUAGAGAUGACAUAGAACACCAAUUGCGAAGGCAGCUCACUGCGCAGCUUAUUGACGCUGAGGCACGAAAGCGUGGGGAUCAAACAGGAUUAGAUACCCUGGUAGUCCACGCCCUAAACGAUGGAUACUCGACAUACGUGAUAUGACAAUGUGUGUCUGAGCGAAAGCAUUAAGUAUCCCACC